rnacentral:rRNA from 1 species
AUUGAACGCUGGCGGCAGGCCUAACACAUGCAAGUCGAGCGGAUGAAGGGAGCUUGCUCCUGGAUUCAGCGGCGGACGGGUGAGUAAUGCCUAUGAAUCUGCCUGGUAGUGGGGGAUAACGUCCGGAAACGGGCGCUAAUACCGCAUACGUCCUGAGGUAGAAAGAGGGGGAUCUUCGGACCUCACGCUAUCAGAUGAGCCUAGGUCGGAUUAGCUAGUUGGUGGGGUAAAGGCCUACCAAGGCGACGAUCCGUAACUGGUCUGAGAGGAUGAUCAGUCACACUGGAACUGAGACACGGUCCAGACUCCUACGGGAGGCAGCAGUGGGGAAUAUUGGACGAUGGGCGAAAGCCUGAUCCAGCCAUGCCGCGUGUGUGAAGAAGGUCUUCGGAUUGUAAAACACUUUAAGUUGGGAGGAAGGGCGGUAAGUUAAUACCUUGCUGUUUUGACGUUACCAACAGAAUAAGCACCGGCUAACUUCGUG